rnacentral:rRNA from 1 species
CCUACGGGUGGCAGCAGUGGGGGAUAUUGCACAAUGGGGGAAACCCUGAUGCAGCGACGCCGCGUGUGGGAAGACGGUCCUCUGGAUUGUACACCACUGUCCCCAGGGACGAAGAUGACGGUACCUGGGGAGGAAGCUCCGGCUAACUACGUGCCAGCAGCCGCGGUAAUACGUAGGGAGCGAGCGUUGUCCGGAAUUACUGGUUGUAAAGGGAGCGUAGGCGGGGAUGCAAGGUGGGUGUAAAAACUACCGGCUCAACUGGUAGUCGCACUCAAAACUGCAGCUAUUGAGUGAAGUAGAGGCAGGCGGAAUUCGUAGUGUAGCGGUGAAAUGCGUAGAGAUUAGGAGGAACACCAGUGGCGAAGGCGGCCUGCUGGGCUUUUACUGACGCUGAGGCUCGAAAGUGUGGGGAGCAAACAGGAUUAGAUACCCUGGUAGUC